rnacentral:rRNA from 1 species
GGCGAACGCUGGCGGCGUGCUUAACACAUGCAAGUCGAACGGAAAGGCCCUUCGGGGUACUCGAGUGGCGAACGGGUGAGUAACACGUGGGUGAUCUGCCCUGCACUUUGGGAUAAGCCUGGGAAACUGGGUCUAAUACCGAAUAGGACCGCGCGCUUCAUGGUGUGUGGUGGAAAGCUUUUGCGGUGUGGGAUGGGCCCGCGGCCUAUCAGCUUGUUGGUGGGGGAAUGGCCUACCAAGGCGACGACGGGUAGCCGGCCUGAGAGGGUGACCGGCCACACUGGGACUGAGAUACGGCCCAGACUCCUACGGGAGGCAGCAGUGGGGAAUAUUGCACAAUGGGCGCAAGCCUGAUGCAGCGACGCCGCGUGAGGGAUGACGGCCUUCGGGUUGUAAACCUCUUUCACCAGGGACGAAGCGCAAGUGACGGUACCUGGAGAAGAAGCACCGGCCAACUACGUG